rnacentral:rRNA from 1 species
CGGAAUUACUGGGCGUAAAGCGCACGCAGGCGGUUUGUUAAGUCAGAUGUGAAAUCCCCGGGCUCAACCUGGGAACUGCAUCUGAUACUGGCAAGCUUGAGUCUCGUAGAGGGGGGUAGAAUUCCAGGUGUAGCGGUGUAAUGCGUAGAGAUCUGGAGGAAUACCGGUGGCGAAGGCGGCCCCCUGGACGAAGACUGACGCUCAGGUGCGAAAGCGUGGGGAGCAAACAGGAUUAGAUACCCUGGUAGUCCACGCCGUAAACGAUGUCGACUUGGAGGUUGUGCCCUUGAGGCGUGGCUUCCGGAGCUAACGCGUUAAGUCGACCGCCUGGGGAGUACGGCCGCAAGGUUAAAACUCAAAUGAAUUGACGGGGGCCCGCACAAGCGGUGGAGCAUGUGGUUUAAUUCGAUGCAACGCGAAGAACCUUACCUGGUCUUGACAUCCACGGAAGUUUUCAGAGAUGAGAAUGUGCCUUCGGGAACCGUGAGACAGGUGCUGCAUGGCUGUCGUCAGCUCGUGUUGUGAAAUGUUGGGUUAAGUCCCGCAACGAGCGCAACCCUUAUCCUUUGUUGCCAGCGGUCCGGCCGGGAACUCAAAGGAGACUGCCAGUGAUAAACUGGAGGAAGGUGGGGAUGACGUCAAGUCAUCAUGGCCCCUACGACCAGGGCUACACACGUGCUACAAUGGCGCAUACAAAGAGAAGCGACCUCGCGAGAGCAAGCGGACCUCAUAAAGUGCGUCGUAGUCCGGAUUGGAGUUUGCAACUCGACUCCAUGAAGUCGGAAUCGCUAGUAAUCGUGGAUCAGAAUGCCACGGU